rnacentral:snoRNA from 1 species
AUGGGGAGAAAACCCGGUCUGAGGGAUGAAGACGGCGUCCUGCACCGA